rnacentral:rRNA from 1 species
GAUGAGCGCUAGCGGCAGGCUUAAUACAUGCAAGUCGAGGGGCAGCACAGAUAGCAAUAUUGGGUGGCGACCGGCAAACGGGUGCGGAACACGUACACAACCUUCCUUUUGGUGGGGGAUAGCCUUUGGAAACGGAGAUUAAUACCCCAUAAGAUAUUGGGACCGCAUGGUUUUGAUAUUAAAGAUUUAUUGCCAGAAGAUGGGUGUGCGUAUGAUUAGGUAGUUGGGGGGGUAAAGGCUCACCAAGCCGACGAGCAUUAACUGGUGUGAGAGCACGACCAGUCACACGGGCACUGAGACACGGGCCCGACUCCUACGGGAGGCAGCAGUAAGGAAUAUUGGUCAAUGGACGGAAGUCUGAACCAGCCAUGCCGCGUGGAGGAUGAAGGUCCUCUGGAUUGUAAACUUCUUUUAUAUGGGGCGAAAAAGGGCCAUUCUUGGUCAACUGACGGUACCAUAUGAAUAAGCACCGGCUAACUCCGUGCCAGCAGCCGCUGUAACAC